GGGUUCCGCUGAUCAGAAGCGGACAAGCAAACAGCGGAUGUGCAGUUCCUCUCUUCGCCGAACCCGGUUUUCCCUUUCGGAGCAGCGCGACCGAUUUCCGGUUUCCCCGCCGCAACCACCGUUACCCCCCCCCCGCCCCAAUCCCCGGCGACUCCAGCGACGUCACCGGUUCAGCUCCUGACCUUUCGGCGAACCGCAGAACCACAGGCGACCCGUUCGACGUCAUCACUCCCCGCCCAGAUGUCGCUGUGACAUCACCCCGCACGUGCCUGCGCUGGCACCGCGUCGUCCUGGCGAGCGCCUCCUCGCGGCGGAAGGAGAUCCUGGGGUUCGCUGUGCGAGACAUGUCGGCGGGGUUUCACGUGAGUGACACUUGGUCCCCACGGGAUUGACAGCGACUAGCGGAGUGGCAUGUGGACGUAGCUUCAGGUGACCUCACUGACCCCGCCCCUGACUCCACCCCUUGUGAUGACCCCACCACUGACCCACAGGCCUUGGAGGGGCUGAUCCUGGAGAAGUCAAAGGACCAGGAGGACGCCAUGGGGGGUGCUGUACAGGCUGAGCAGGAAGCAGAGCAGCACAGCGUCAUCAUGAGGGUAGCCAUCUUCACCUGGGGCAUCCACGGAGGCCCUGCCCAGGAAGUGACUUUCUCUCUACUGUAGGAGGAGCUGAUCCACGACUACUUGGACAACAGCACACCAGCGAAGGAUGGGACAAGGCCUGGGGCCUCCGCCAUCCAUGCGUGGGGAGUGAUGCUGGUAGAGGGCAAAUUGGUGACGUCAUCAAUGCAGCGGGCUUCCCACUCAACCACUUUAGCCGCAAGCUUGCAAGGGCAGCUGCCAGAGACAGGAAGUGACAUCGCUGUGGAGAGGGCAGCAGGAAGUGAGGGGUCUGCAACAACACAAGGAAGCAAGCAACCCGUGAGAAAGCACUGGCAUGGAUGAAAACAGACUCACUGGAAAGAUGCAAAGCAAUGUCAGGUUACACAACAAAAGGCAAUUACAGUCAUAUGAGGGAGUGUUCGAAAAGUUGUAAUUUGAAAACUGUUUUUGGUUGUCCUUUAGUUGGCCUCCUCUGUAAAUUGUGACAGACAUCUCCUGACAACACUUAAAGCAUCUCAAACCAUCCUUGCCCUGAUCUAUGAGUUCUCAGAACAGAAGGACUACUGAGCCAGGCGUGGUAGCACAUGCCUGUGAUCCUACAACUCAGAAGACAGAAGAGGAAUUCUAGGUCAGCCUGGGCUAGACAGACAGCAAGACUCUUGUUUUGUUUUGAAAGGCUGGUGAGGUAGUUCAGCGGGUUAACUGCCUGGUCUAAGCCCAGUGACGUGAGUUUGUGUGCUGUGGAGCUUCUGCAAACCCUGCCCCUGCCAAAUAAAAACUCGUAAUUUAUAACUCACAAAAA
rnacentral:lncRNA from 1 species